UUGGUUAAGUUAGAAAGGGCGCACGGUGGAUGCCUUGGCACUAGGAGCCGAAGAAGGACGGGACUAACACCGAUAUGCUUUGGGGAGCUGUACGUAAGCGUUGAUCCAGAGAUUUCCGAAUGGGGGAACCCACUAUCUUUAGUCGGAUAGUAUCCUUACGUGAAUACAUAGCGUGAGGAAGGCAGACCCAGGGAACUGAAACAUCUAAGUACCUGGAGGAAGAGAAAGAAAAAUCGAUUUCCUGAGUAGCGGCGAGCGAAACGGAAAGAGCCCAAACCAAGAAGCUUGCUUCUUGGGGUUGUAGGACACUCUAUACGGAGUUACAAAAGAAAGUUAUAAAUGAAGCGGUCUGGAAAGGCCCGCCAAAGACGGUAACAGCCCGGUAGUUGAAAUAGCUUUCCCUCCAGAGUGGAUCCUGAGUACGGCGGAACACGUGAAAUUCCGUCGGAAUCCGGGAGGACCAUCUCCCAAGGCUAAAUACUCCCUAGUGACCGAUAGUGAACCAGUACCGUGAGGGAAAGGUGAAAAGCACCCCGGAAGGGGAGUGAAACAGUUCCUGAAACCGUGUGCCUACAAGUAGUUAGAGCCCGUUAAUGGGUGAUAGCGUGCCUUUUGUAGAAUGAACCGGCGAGUUACGAUUUGUUGCAAGGUUAAGCGGAAAAAGCGGAGCCGUAGCGAAAGCGAGUCUGAAUAGGGCGCAUAAGUAACAGGUCGUAGACCCGAAACCAGGUGAUCUACCCAUGUCCAGGAUGAAGGUAAGGUAAUACUUACUGGAGGUCCGAACCCACGCACGUUGAAAAGUGCGGGGAUGAGGUGUGGGUAGCGGAGAAAUUCCAAUCGAACUUGGAGAUAGCUGGUUCUCUCCGAAAUAGCUUUAGGGCUAGCCUCGAGGUAAAGAGUCAUGGAGGUAGAGCACUGUUUGGACUAGGGGCCCUUCUCGGGUUACCGAAUUCAGAUAAACUCCGAAUGCCAUGUACUUAUACUCGGGAGUCAGACUGCGAGUGAUAAGAUCCGUAGUCGAAAGGGAAACAGCCCAGACCACCAGUUAAGGUCCCCAAAUAUAUGUUAAGUGGAAAAGGAUGUGGGGUUGCUUAGACAACCAGGAUGUUGGCUUAGAAGCAGCCACCAUUGAAAGAGUGCGUAAUAGCUCACUGGUCGAGUGACCCCGCGCCGAAAAUGUACCGGGGCUAAACAUAUUACCGAAACUGUGGAUGAACCUCUUUAGAGGUUCGUGGUAGGAGAGCGUUCUAAGGGCGGUGAAGUCAGACCGGAAGGACUGGUGGAGCGCUUAGAAGUGAGAAUGCCGGUAUGAGUAGCGAAAGAAGGGUGAGAAUCCCUUCCACCGAAUAUCUAAGGUUUCCUGAGGAAGGCUCGUCCGCUCAGGGUUAGUCGGGACCUAAGCCGAGGCCGAUAGGCGUAGGCGAUGGACAACAGGUAGAGAUUCCUGUACCAGUGCUAAUUGUUUAACCGAUGGGGUGACACAGAAGGAUAGGGAAUCGCACGAAUGGAAAUGUGCGUCCAAGCAGUGAGUGUGAGAAGUAGGCAAAUCCGCUUCUCGCGAAGCAUGAGCUGUGAUGGGGAAGGAAAUUAAGUACGGAAGUUCCUGAUUUCACGCUGUCAAGAAAAGCCUCUAGGAAGAGUAGUACUGCCCGUACCGCAAACCGACACAGGUAGAUGAGGAGAGAAUCCUAAGGUGAGCGAGAGAACUCUCGUUAAGGAACUCGGCAAAAUGACCCCGUAACUUCGGGAGAAGGGGUGCUCUAUUAGGGUGCAAGCCCGAGAGAGCCGCAGUGAAUAGGCCCAGGCGACUGUUUAGCAAAAACACAGGUCUCUGCAAAACCGUAAGGUGACGUAUAGGGGCUGACGCCUGCCCGGUGCUGGAAGGUUAAGAGGAGUGCUUAGCUUCGGCGAAGGUACGAAUUGAAGCCCCAGUAAACGGCGGCCGUAACUAUAACGGUCCUAAGGUAGCGAAAUUCCUUGUCGGGUAAGUUCCGACCCGCACGAAAGGCGCAACGAUCUGGGCACUGUCUCAACGAGAGACUCGGUGAAAUUAUAGUACCUGUGAAGAUGCAGGUUACCCGCGACAGGACGGAAAGACCCCGUGGAGCUUUACUGCAACCUGAUAUGGAAUGUUUGUACCGCUUGUACAGGAUAGGUAGGAGCCGAAGAGACGUGUGCGCUAGCAUACGAGGAGGCAAUGGUGGGAUACUACCCUGGCUGUAUGACCAUUCUAACCCGCCACGCUUAGCGCGUGGGGAGACAGUGUCAGGUGGGCAGUUUGACUGGGGCGGUCGCCUCCUAAAGAG
rnacentral:rRNA from 1 species